rfam:Ictidomys tridecemlineatus contig093894, whole genome shotgun sequence.
GGGGUUGUGGCUCAAGCAGUAGCGCGCUCGCCUAGCAUGCGUGCGGCCCGGGUUCGAUCCUCAGCAGCACCA